rnacentral:rRNA from 1 species
UAGCAUAUCAAUAAGCGGAGGAAAAGAAACCAACAGGGAUUGCCUCAGUAACGGCGAGUGAAGCGGCAACAGCUCAAAUUUGAAAUCUGCCCCCCCGGGCCGAGUUGUAAUUUGCAGAGGAUGCUUUUGGCGAGGUGCCUUCCGAGUUCCCUGGAACGGGACGCCAUAGAGGGUGAGAGCCCCGUCUGGUCGGACACCGAGCCUCUGUAAAGCUCCUUCGACGAGUCGAGUAGUUUGGGAAUGCUGCUCAAAAUGGGAGGUAUAUGUCUUCUAAAGCUAAAUACCGGCCAGAGACCGAUAGCGCACAAGUAGAGUGAUCGAAAGAUGAAAAGCACUUUGAAAAGAGAGUUAAAUAGCACGUGAAAUUGUUGAAAGGGAAGCGUUUAUGACCAGACUUGGCCCGGUUGAUCAUCCAGCGUUCUCGCUGGUGCACUCUGCCGGUCCAGGCCAGCAUCAGUUCGCUUCGGGGGAUAAAGGCUUCGGGAAUGUGGCUCCCUCCGGGGAGUGUUAUAGCCCGUUGUGUAAUACCCUGAGGUGGACUGAGGUCCGCGCACUGCAAGGAUGCUGGCGUAAUGGUCAUCAACGACCCGUCUUGAAACACGGACCAAGGAGUCGUCUUCGUAUGCGAGUGUUCGGGUGCAAAACCCCUACGCGUAAUGAAAGUGAACGCAGGUGAGAGCUUCGGCGCAUCAUCGACCGAUCCUGAUGUUCUCGGAUGGAUUUGAGUAAGAGCAUACGGGGCCGGACCCGAAAGAAGGUGAACUAUGCCUGUAUAGGGUGAAGCCAGAGGAAACUCUGGUGGAGGCUCGCAGCGGUUCUGACGUGCAAAUCGAUCGUCAAAUAUGGGCAUGGGGGCGAAAGACUAAUCGAACCUUCUAGUAGCUGGUUUCCGCCGA